GGAGAAGGGUUAUGGCUCAGUGGCAGAACACUUGUCUCGCCUGCAAAAGGUCCCAGGUUCAAUCCCUGGCACCUCCA